UACGGAGGAUGCAAGCGUUAUCCGGAAUGAUUGGGCGUAAAGGGUCCGCAGGUGGCAGUGUAAGUCUGCUGUCAAAGAAUGAGGCUUAACCUCAUCAAGGCAGUGGAAACUACACAGCUAGAGUACGGUCGGGGUAGAAGGAAUUCCUGGUGUAGCGGUGAAAUGCGUAGAGAUCAGGAAGAACACCGGUGGCGAAACGUUCUGCUAGACCUGUACUGACACUGAGGGACGAAAGCUAGGGGAGCAAAUGGG
rnacentral:rRNA from 1 species